ensembl:lncRNA
AUUUUUACGAAGUACUUUCCACAUGCUCUAUCUCACCGAAUCCGCCACAACAAUCGUUUGAAUGCUGGCUCUGCCCUCGCUGGUAUGACUCCCAGCAAGUUCCUUUUUCUUCCAGCCUUAUUCCUCCUUUGUAACAAGGAGUCUUCCAAGACACAACCAACAUCAGUGUCACUGUAGCACUAAAUGAGAUAACACGUGCGAAGCAUUUAAUAGUGCCUGCCACAGUAAUAAUCACUCGAUAGCCAUUAGCUUUUGCUCAUAUUGUUGUCACGUCCACAAACACCACAACUCCAGAGAAUCAAGUGCAUGAGUUGAGGAUCUGGGAAUAUGCAUGCUCUGGAAAGGUCUGCAUGCUUCUGUUGCUUUGAUGGGAAAUUUUCCUAAACCAGAUUCUUUCAAGCGUGAGACUCUGUUGUGGAGUCUAAGAGUUGAUGAGUGGAUUUUGGUAGCAACUCUUCAUGUCAACAGCAUGUGCUGAAGACUAUAGAGAAGCCGUAUUCUGGUUAUUUUUCCAUUCGACAAGUCCUUCUCCAACACCUCCUUUGAGGCAGGCAUUGUAGUGGGAGCUAUGAAUACAGAAGGAAAACAAGAUAGUCUUGGAUAUUAUCGUCAGGUUGUGAUAAAGAAGAAAAAAAUGUAUUCUUCAUGAAGGUCAACAUCUUCCUGUGCAGAAGCACAAUAUAGGAAUUAGAUGUGCUUUACUGCAUAGAAUGAGAGAAACUAUGCCCGGAUUUGUAGGGCCCAUAUUUUUAAGGACAGUCUUUCUCUCAGCGAAGUCUAUGUGCGUGUAUGUGUGGUUGUGCAUUCCCGUGUACACGUAUAAACACAUACACACACCCUCCAAUAAUGGACCUGAAUAAUUGACUAGUUCUUGCUCUCAUUUCUUCCAGUUGACGUUGCUCCUGAUUCUCCAACAGCUUCCCCAACAGAGCAAAGUAACGUCACUGCUGUUACUUCUAGAAGAGCUUGUCUGAAAGAUGAAAGUAAGUUUUUGUACAUGUUUGCCUUUAUGUCAUGUGACAGCGUUUUUUUCCUCUGGCUAGACGUCACUUUUGUAAUUUCUUGGUUUAAGGAAGAAACAGUAGAAUGGUGGGAUGAUGCAGAAUAGAUUGAGUGAUAUUUUAAAUCAAUCCAUCAUUUCCUAGGUGUCAUCUUUACACAGUAAAUAUUGGUUUAGGGAUGAGACGACUGUAAAUUAAAGGGUGCAGUGAUAGGCGCUGAAUUAUUUCCACAAUGGAUUUAAUUCAUUUGUGCAGCUUUUAUUUCUGAGAAAUGAGGAAUAUGUGAUAUCAGGGUGCUUCAAGAUUUCUUUUUUAAGUCUUUGGUCCUUGCAAGUAGCUAAUGACAUUAGGUGACAUGUACUGAGAUCUUCCUCUACAGAAGGCAUUAUGGUGGAUUUGGCAUGCAUUUUCUUGUUUAAUGCUUAUCAUACUCCUGUGAAGUGGUACAAUAAUUUUUUUCCCAUUUCACAGAUGAAAGCAAAGACCCAAAAUUAAUUGAGUCUGUGGCACCAUGCCACGCAGCUGGAGCUUGGGUUUCAACACGGCCCUUUGAAUCAAGAGUUCAUACACUUACUCAGUUCUCUCUUCUUCCUCUAAGAUAUAGUUCUAGAGCAAUAAACCCCCAAGCCAAGGCCCUGAGACGUGAUGGACACAUGGUGGGGGUUGGGUAAGGGCAUGGCUUUUGCUGUCUCACAGGCUGGACUUGAACCCCAGUUGUUUUAAUGGUUAGUUGCAUCAAUAUAGGAAAAUUAAUUACAUUUUGUGAGCGACACUUUCCUUGUCUGCCAACCAGAAUUAAUUACAACUGGCUUAGUUAUUGAACAGAUAAGUUCACCUAUGUGGAAGAUCUAGGAUUGGGUUUCUCAUUUAGCCAGCACAGUCCUUAUUUUUGGCCCUUUCUCCUUAUAUGUGUACAAAGAAAGUGACUAGAAUCACCAGUCACUGGUGCUCUAGCCCUGCUGAUCUUCCCUCCAUUUCCAAUAUCAAGGGGACUCUGGACCUCAGCUAACACCUUCCCUGACUAAGGGCAAGGAGUUAUGAGCACAUCUCCUCUGAGAUCCCUUUUCACAACAAGUGCUAAUGAUUCUGGAGUUCUGAUUCUUGAAGAUAAAACAUGUGAAAGGGGAAUUUCCACAGGAAGAGAUUCGGCCUUGUUCAUUGAAUAGUCAGUCUGACUCACCACCAUUGUCAUUACUUACUUCUUGACGUCAUAUAUUUCUUGCCAAACUUCGAAGGAUAUUAAGUGCAAUUAUCCUAUACCACAAUGAGAGACAUUUAGGAAGGACAGGUGAGUGAGCCAUGAUAUCCUAAAGUUUUGGAGAAUUUGGAUUAACCACUCUCUUCUGCUUUAUAUAAUACUAAUUACAUAUAAACAAUUGUAUGAUGUUCUAAGUGAAUUUAGAAAAGGUUGUUGAUUGACAUGACCUGGUGAGUGGCUCCUCAGUUGCCUUGUUGUUGUCUGUGGUGGUUAUGUUGGUAGGUAGACGUUUACUUUUGGGUUCUGGUGGUGCAGGGUAUGACUACAAGGUAGGCCAUUUGAAAUAAAUAACUGUCACCAGCCUCCCAUUAAUAUGACCUUUCUUUCAAAAGAACAGGCGAAACUAAUCAUCUGACUUCUCUUAGACCCCCUGCAGCUCACCAGCACCUUGGCCUAUUACAGCUACCUCCUGCUCCUCCUCGUGAGCGCGGUCUACUUUGCCAUCAUCACCAUCUGUCUGUGUAGGAGAACAGCCGUCUCUGGCAAUGGAAAGAAUUCAUAACAGAUGGGGGGACAAAGAAGUCAACUUUAGUUCAUCAUUUAUUGUCCCUAGAAGUGUCUACUGCGAAUCUACCUUGGCUUUCUCUCUGGGUUUGGGUUAUUCCAGUUCAAAAGUGUGCUUUGCUGUUAUGCCAUUAUUGUGUAAUGGUUUUUCAAAACACUGGGCAAAUAGAAAUUUUUUCUCUAUGACAGCAAUGAACUCUGCCAUUACUCAGGGGCAGGGCCGUGGGGUCGUCCUUUAGCACCACUCUCUCCAUGAUCUCCAUCAGCUCCUCCAGCAAACUGAAUGACCAUGCCUUCUGAGUACAGACAACAUGCAACUCUACUCACGUCCCUUAGGGCCAUUUAACCAGAUGACCACCUUGGAGCCUUCCAUUUUACACACGCAGAAGUCACCAUCAUUGUCACUUAAAUUCUAUACUUCGUUUUUCAUAAUGGGCACAAUAAAAAAAAUGAAAACUCUA